AUUGAACGCUGGCGGCAUGCUUUACACAUGCAAGUCGAACGGUAACGGGGACUUCGGUCUGCCGACGAGUGGCGAACGGGUGAGUAAUAUAUCGGAACGUGCCCAGUAAUGGGGGAUAGCUCGGCGAAAGCCGGAUUAAUACCGCAUACGCCCUGAGGGGGAAAGUGGGGGAUCUUCGGACCUCACGUUAUUGGAGCGGCCGAUAUCAGAUUAGCUAGUUGGUGGGGUAAAGGCCUACCAAGGCGACGAUCUGUAGCUGGUCUGAGAGGAUGAUCAGCCACACUGGGACUGAGACACGGCCCAGACUCCUACGGGAGGCAGCAGUGGGGAAUUUUGGACAAUGGGCGAAAGCCUGAUCCAGCCAUGCCGCGUGAGUGAAGAAGACCUCGGUU
rnacentral:rRNA from 1 species